AUGGUCUAUCCCCCAGGAAGUCUGACCCAAGAUACACAAGUCCCUCAGCUCAUGACUCUGGUUGUUAACCAUCUCACCCACCUCACGAGCCCUGUAUUGUUCCAGUUUGGGUUCCCAGGUAAGGAGAAAGAGCUGCCUACCUGUUCAACAGCCGCCCUGCCCUGGGGAGAAGCUGCUGCCAGUUCUGUGCUUUGGGGACUGGAAGAGGAGACAGUCCAUUGAGUGACACACGUUGAUCUGGCAGGACAGGACCCACACAGUGAACUUCCACUGGUAAAGCCAUUCUGCCAACUGAGCCAGUGGGAACUGGACCCCAGCACCCUGAAGGGUAUGCAAGAGAAAGGCUCUGAAGUCAGUUUGACAUGAUGGACUGGGAACUCAGAGCUGUUGGCAUAUCAUCUCCAGGAUCUGGCCGGCACCUGUUUAGGAGACCUCAAUUUUUAUUCUUCCCCUGUCCUAAUGAGCAAGUCUACCCAUGAGCAAGCUGCAUACAGCCACCUCCUAAAUAUUGUCACCUGACUCAGAAGCCAGAGUGCCUCAGACUGCACCUGUCUGCAUUCCUUUACCCCUGGUUACAGCAUACAGGGUUGAGGCCAGGGACUGCUGGGCAGAUUUCAGCGGAAAUGUUUGUGUUCCUCUCUGACCAUAGGCAGAAGCCCUCAUCCUCAAACAGGUGGGCUUUGGAAGCAGGGCCUUUGAGUAGCAGAUGCAAUGCUCACAGAAUGAAGUUCCUCAAAAUAAGAACAGAUGUAUAUAUUAGACCUAUGUGUCAUCUGGGCUCUCCUGUCUCUUCUGCAUGAAGACCCGACCAAGAUGGUGCUGUCCAUGAACCAGAAAGAAGACUCUCUCUGGCCUGAGCCUGUUGACACCUCAGCUUCCAGAACUGUGAGAAAUAAGUUUGUCACAGCAGCCCCAGUGAGUAAGAAUGGUUGUACCCAUAGACAGGCAUUGGGGCUCUGCUGGCCCUCACCCAGCCUUUCCUGGGGGCUCAUUCUGGUUCAGCUAUGCGGUUAACGAACAACCUUGCCAAUGCAUGGAUUGAGAUCGUAUCGGCCUGUUUUAAGCAAAGUUUGAUUUGGUUUGACUUAGUUUUCUAAGUCCCCAGGCACUUGCAGUCUGUCUCUAACUAUGUGAUCCAUUCAUUUGUGCCAUGAAUGUGGGAAGUGGCUGCUCUGCUCAAUUGCAGUCAUUUCCAUCAAGAAAGGAGGGAAUCUGCGUUCCAAGAGACCACAAUGAGGGAAGUGAUCAUGUGAGCGGACUGAAGGUGAGAGCAACUGCCUGCCAAGGAGGCCCAAAGAACAGAUGCAGAAUGGUAGGAACAGUGCUCACCUCUCAGGAAAGAGGACUUCGCAGCCUCCUGUUGGCCCCUCUGCUGCAAUCCCUGGAAAUGGGAGCCAGAGCAUGCUAAAGGGUGGUUUGUGGAUCCACCCUUGAAUUUAGAAACAGCCUGAGCUGGGUGUUUUUCAUGGCUCCUCUGAGCAGCUGGGUCCCACUUCCAGUGACCUGGUGAAGAGCUGCAGGUGUCUCCUGUCAGGGGCGAGGUGAGGCCCGGAUGUGGUACUGGUGGAAAUGCAUUUCUCUUCAAACCCAGGGAAGACAAUAUGCCCUUUGGGGUCUUUGAAGAGUCAAAGAAUGCCAGCUUGGCCUGCUCUAGACUGCAGGCACCUGGAAUCAAACUGUCGGCCCUGUCGGGUCUUGUUGCUAUGAUGGUCCCAGAUGGAGGUGCCAUUAUCUGAGGAAGCAGAACCAAAGUUUUGACAGAAUUACUUACCUCACCUUGUGCAGAGCUUAGUCUCAAGCAGUCAGCCUAGGAUGUUUUACUGUGGUGUGUGCAGAGCAGGCAUGAAAAUGGCCAAUAUGAAGGGUGUCUUGAUUUCAGGCUCCCGGACAUUCUCACAUAGAGAGGAAAAGUUGAUGGAUAAGUCUCCAGAUGCAAUUCUGACAGACUUGACAAAGGUUGAUGGAAGACACUCGUAGCUACUACCCCAGAGAGAAAGUGCCAGAUUCUCACAGGGUGCUCUUACAGGAAGUCAUAAGAAGUACUAGGCUCCCACAGAAAAUGUCAGCCAUGCUAUGGUAGGCUUGGAAGUCAGAACCCCAUCCAGCCCCGAGAUCAAACAGGCAGCCCUCCACCUCUGUGGCACACAUACAUCCCCCAGCCCUGUGAGUGCUCUGAAGCACAGACAACUGGCUCUGCAGGACAGAGUGAAUGUUCUUCCUAGAGAGUUGUUAUUGUUAUCUAUUGCUUUUCAAGAUGGUGGCACAAAGGGAUUAAUCAGCUUCCCCCAAAUCACAGAGUUCUGGAGAAUGUUCCUUGUGGCUAGACCACUGUGUUCCAAAUAACACCAGAAGAAUCACCUGUCGCUGUAUCCAAAAACAUCACCAUUUGGGCUUGUAUUCUUGGGAGCUAAGGUUCCAAGAAGCAUGCAUAUAAGUGGGGUCGCGUCUUUCUUUAUACUCACACCACCUGCCUUGUGGAUUCAAUAAACGUCCUAUGUCCUUCCCUGUGAACACAGCUCAGAGUCAUUCCCCCCCCCCAACACUUUUAUUCUUUUUUUUCUCUCACUGGGCUAGAAUCGAAACAUUAUUGUAGUAACUAUUAGUUUCAAGGAAAGAUUGUAAUUGCUUCUAGAUCCACUCACGAGUUUCAAGAGCGAUUUAACCUUUAACUUUCUCAGUACAAAGGAAGGCUUGCUGCGCAGUGAAUCUAACAAGACCAUCAUUUAUCGCUGGCAGAGUUCAUUAGUCAAUCGUAACAGUUUAAUUAUUAGCAUUUUAAUGCAUGAGCAUUUAACCACACAGAACAACAAUCUUGGCACACAGAACAAGACUUCUUAAAGGGAGUGGAACCAGUCUGUACAAUUGCUUGUAUUGUAAUGUGUUAUUAAAAUGAGAUAAUUAAAAUGCAAGAAACAAAUGAGUCCACGUAUUUCACCAGCAUUCUGCUUCCUGGUGUGCAUGGUAAGGUUGUUUUCGUUUUAUUUUUUUUUAAAGCUUGUAUUUUUACUUUAAAAUUGUUUUCAUUUUUCUGUUACAGGUCCACAUGCUGUCAGGAACACUGGCCAUGAGAAGUAGCUUUUAUAAGAAAGAGGGAGCCGGGGCGUGGUGGCGCACGCCUUUAAUCCCAGCACUCGGGAGA